GACGAACGCUGGCGGCGUGCUUAACACAUGCAAGUCGAACGGAAAGGCCCUGCUUUUGUGGGGUGCUCGAGUGGCGAACGGGUGAGUAACACGUGAGUAACCUGCCCUUGACUUUGGGAUAACUUCAGGAAACUGGGGCUAAUACCGGAUAGGAGCUCCUGCUGCAUGGUGGGGGUUGGAAAGUUUCGGCGGUUGGGGAUGGACUCGCGGCUUAUCAGCUUGUUGGUGGGGUAGUGGCUUACCAAGGCUUUGACGGGUAGCCGGCCUGAGAGGGUGACCGGCCACAUUGGGACUGAGAUACGGCCCAGACUCCUACAGGAGGCAGCAGGGGGGAAUAUUGCACAAUGGGCGGAAGCCUGAUGCAGCAACGCCGCGUGCGGGAUGACGGCCUUCGGGUUGUAAACCGCUUUCGCCUGUGACGAAGCGUGAGUGACGGUAAUGGGUAAAGAAGCACCGGCUAACUACGUG
rnacentral:rRNA from 1 species